rnacentral:rRNA from 1 species
CUUCCGUAGGGGUAACCUGCGGAGGGAUCAUUGCUGGAACGCGCCCCAGGCGCACCCAGAAACCCUUUGUGAACUUAUACCUUACUGUUGCCUCGGCGCAUGCCGGCCCCCCUGGGGGCCCCUCCUUCUGGAGGAGCAGGCACGCCGGCGGCCAACCUAACUCUUGUUUUUACACUGAAACUCUGAGAAUAAAACAUAAAUGAAUCAAAACUUUCAACAACGGAUCUCUUGGUUCUGGCAUCGAUGAAGAACGCAGCGAAAUGCGAUAAGUAAUGUGAAUUGCAGAAUUCAGUGAAUCAUCGAAUCUUUGAACGCACAUUGCGCCCUCUGGUAUUCCGGAGGGCAUGCCUGUUCGAGCGUCAUUUCAACCCUCAAGCCUGGCUUGGUGAUGGGGCACUGCCUGUAAAAGGGCAGGCCCUGAAAUUCAGUGGCGAGCUCGCCAGGACCCCGAGCGCAGUAGUUAAACCCUCGCUCUGGAAGGCCCUGGCGGUGCCCUGCCGUUAAACCCCCAACUUCUGAAAAUUGACCUCGAUCAGGUAGAAUUCCCGGGUCC